GGUCACUAACAACCCGCCGGGCUCCUGGCGGUGGCGGCUCCCGGCGCGGCAGUCGGCACCGCAUCCGUGCGCGCAGCUGGGAUAGGCACAAAGGGGCUGCUGUGAGCGCAGAUGCAGAGCAGCACGGGCAGGAUGCAGAUGGGGGAGCUGGGCCUUGAUUGGCAAGAGGGAGAAUCGUGCGUAGGAGUGAAAGCAAAGCGAGGCUUGCUCGUGCGGGGGGUCUGGCUGGUGCAGAAUGUGAGGUGUCAGCCGUUCAACAGCGCAUGAAGAAAAAGAAUGUCUGCUGUCCGCAGGCAUCCCAGGGAGCUGGAGGUCAGGCCAGCCCAGCAGACUGCAGAGAGAAGCCAAGUGCUUCGUGUUCGAUAAAACCACGGGUCAGAACCACGAUGCCCUCCCUGCAUCGAGACAAGGAAUCACAGAUUGGUGCAGGAACACCAACAUUAAUCAUUUCUAUCUGUGUCUCUUCCUAUUUACUCUGUGGUACUUCAGUGUGCAGUAGAGCCACUUGCUGUUUUGCCACUGAAAAUAUUCCCAGCAGAAAAUGCAGCUUUGUGAAGACCUAAAGUUGUUCAAGGAGAAGAGACUGUCUGGAAGAAAAUGAUCACAUUUUCAUCACUUUCUUUUUUUUUUUCUGAAUUGACAUCCCAGCUCUACAUGCUCUGAAUUUUGCAUUUAGAUAAUUGAAUUCUAUUAAAA